AUGGCAUGCGGAAGAGCGCACACAAGAUGGCAUGCGGAAGAGCGCACACAAGAUGGCUUGAUUAGGCAUCCUAAAGAUUCCCUCCUUUGGAAAGAUUUUGAUGAAAAAAAUAAAGAUUUUGCAAAAGACAACAGAAAUCUUAAGCUUGUAGUACGUGCCGAUGGUUUUAAUCCGUUUAGAUCCAUGAAUCUCAGCUAUAGCAUUUGGCCAGUAUUAUUGAUUCCUUAUAACUUUCCACCCUGGAUGAUUAUGAAGCAAUCAAAUUUCAUCCUAUCACUGUUGAUUCCUGGCAGAAAUUCUCCUGGUAGUGAUAUUGAUGUCUAUCUUGAGCCACUAGUUGAUGAUAUGGUAGAUAUGUUUCUUGAUGGUGUUAGGACCUAUGAUGCUUCAACCGGAGAGUAUUUUCAGUUUCAUGCUGCCAUAAUAUGCACAAUUACGGAUAAACCAGGUCUUGGGUCUUUGGUUGCCUGUGCUUCCUCUGGAGAAGGAGCUUGCCCUGAAUGCCACUCUCAAUUAUGUUCUCUUAGGCUAAAAAAUGGUAGCAAGACUUGCUAUAUGGGGCAUCGUAGGUUCUUACAUGCAGAUCACCCCUUGAGGUAUGAUACACGCACAUUUGGUGACAUAGAACGUGGGACAGCAGCCGUUCCACUUUCCGGUAGGCAAAUCUUAGAGCUGACAGAAAAUAUGCAAACCAAGUUUGGGAAGGAUCCUAUAACGAAGAAGCCUAGAACUAAGAAACGCAAGAAAGGGGAUCCGCUGAUCAUUUGGAAAAGAAAGUCUAUUUGGUUUAAACUACCAUAUUGGAAGGAUUUGAAGAUGCAUCAUAACUUCGAUGUCAUGCACAUAGAAAAAAAUGUGUGUGAGAACAUAGUUAACACUUUGUUGGCAGUCAAUGGAAAAACCAAGGAUAAUAUUAAUUCUCGAUAUGACCUUCAAGCACUCAGUAUUAGAAAGGAUCUUCAACCUAUUGAUCUUGAUGAUGAUGAAGUUUUUUUUCCUCCGGCACCUUACACAAUGGAAUCUGAUCAGCAGAGGACAUUUUGCAAAGUAUUUAAAAAUGCCAUGUUUCAUAAUGGUUAUGCAUCUGACAUACGCCGUAAUGUGCAUUUUAAGGAGAAAAAGAUAACUGGGCUAAAGAGCCAUGACAACCAUGUCCUUUUGCAAGACUUGCUGCCACUUGCAGUGAGAAGAACAUUACCAGAAAGAGUGAGUGCGGUACUGAUUCGUGUGAGCAGAUUUUUCAAGCGAAUGUACUCACAGGUUAUUCGCAUAAGUGACAUGCAAAGGUUGCAGGAUGAAAUAGCUGAGACCUUGAGCCUUCUUGAGGCCAUAUUCCUCCCAUCAUUUUUCGAUAUUAUGGUGCAUUUGAUGGUUCAUCUUCCAGCACAAGCAAUGAUAGCUAGUCCAGUACAUUUUCGCAGCAUGUGGGCUGUAGAGAGGUAUAUAGGAAAGCUCAAGGGACAUGUCCACACCAGAAGUCAUGUGUAA
rnacentral:rRNA from 1 species